rnacentral:rRNA from 1 species
UACGGAGGGGGCUAGCGUUGUUCGGAAUUACUGGGCGUAAAGGGCUCGUAGGCGGCCAACUAAGUCAGACGUGAAAUCCCUCGGCUUAACCGGGGAACUGCAUCUGAUACUGGAUGGCUUGAGAUUGGGAGAGGGAUGCGGAAUUCCAGGUGUAGCGGUGAAAUGCGUAGAUAUCUGGAGGAACACCGGUGGCGAAGGCGGCAUCCUGGACCAACACUGACACUGAGGAGCGAAAGCCAGGGGAGCAAACGGG